GAGGACGGGCCCUGGUCAAAAGUAGCAUGGACCACAGGAGGUUGGUGGCACCUUUAAUUGGGGAAGACGGGCCCUGGUCAAAAGUAGCAUGGACCACAGGAGGUUGGUGGCACCUUUUAAUUGGGGAGGACGGGCCCUGGUCAAAAGUAGCAUGGACCACAGGAGGUUGGUGGCACCUUUUAAUUGGGGAGGACGGGCCCUGGUCAAAAGUAGCAUGGACCACAGGAGGUUGGGCCCUGGUCAAAAGUAGCAUGGACCACAGGAGGUUGGUGGCAGCUUUAAUUUGUGAGGACGGGCGAAGGUCAGGGCUGUGAUUGUGGUGGAGAUCAUGAUCCAGAGUUGUUAAAGUGCCCUGUAGUAACAGGGUGAAGGAAGUUGAACCGGACGAAGGUCAGGACGGUCCAUCAGAUCUCCUAUGGGGAUGCAACCAAAAGAGUUGAGGAAGCAAGUGACAGUGUUGAAGGUAUGAUACGCAGAUGCAACACAGCCCGCGGGUCAAGCAAGACAACAGUGUGUUAAAAAGGUGGGUUUUAUAGCAUUUAUUACAACUGUUAUUAAUUGUACAGCACAAAGUAUCAAAUAAAUCAAUGGAANNNNNNNNNNCCAAUCAAAAGUCCUUUGCAGUAUGACUGGGCCAAUGGCCAAAUAACCAGUAUCCUGCUCCGGACUGUACAGAACGAAGCUCUGAGUUCAGGAGUGACAUUCCACAGAUUCUAAACGGCUGUUGAACUGAAAACCAACUCCUAUUUACAUUGACAAUUCCCUAUUGACCAUUUUUAGUGUUAUAUUUUGUUUUUAGUCCUCUCGUCCUCUCAUCCUCUCAAACUCUGCGUUGUGUAUUUAUCUUGGACGUAUUCUUACACCUGCAUGAAGGUGUUGAUUCUAACUGUUAAAUGCUUUCACAUGUACAUUGACAUGUUAGCCACUCUCAGCAUACUCAUGAAGCGAGUUUGAUGAGUUUCCAGUCUUUUAAAAUAGCCUACAUGAGCAGCAGACAUAAUGACCGUGAACCCGACGACCUCAGAACCUGAAGAGUUGGUAGGGUUAAACCCUGUUGGAUUACUGCAGGGGAGAGUGUGUGUGUGUGGUUGGUUCAGUAUGCUGUUAUCUUAACAGAGGGCCAACCGCCAUGGGGCUGCAUAGUGUAGGAGGGGGCUGCCCCUGCUGUUUCACUGAGUGAUGUAAUGUAUACAUACAUCUGUAUGUCUAUGGACUUGUUCAACGUUGCAGGUGACUACAGAUUGACUGAUCUACAAAUCACCUUGCAUCAUAUAACUACUUGUUUAUUAUUUUGUAGAUCAAUUUACCCAUGAUGCAUCAUCACAGAUUUGAUGUUCUUGAAAACCAGUGAUCCCUGUGGGAAUUGAAAAUCAACGUUGUUGCUAGCGCUGCACUCUUCCUAACUGAACCACACAGGACCAUUGUCUGCUGAAAUGAGACGAUGUACGUGUAGGCUGGUUGGCUAAUGGCCAUAUCUUUCUCUAUGUAAAUGAGAAAGGGUGUGUUAAGUUAAGUUAUAUUAGCUGUUUUGCAUAUCGUUUGAUUAUAGUGAUAUUUGGGGCCCUGAGUUCUUCUUGAUUAUAGUGAUAUCUAGAAUCAAAUGUCCACACACCUCUCCAAAGUGUUCACAGUUUCUAAGUCAUUUCAAUUCACUUUUAUGUCUGAAAGAAGUCUUCAACUACAAGGUGCUUUUUUUGAUCUCUCCUCUCGGUGCCGUUGAGGAACUAGAGCAAAACACACUUGUUGUUUUGUUAGGAACACAACCCCGCAUCUCUUCCAUCAUACUAUUACUGUUGUUGUUUACACAAUCCCAAAAGCUCUCUAUUGUAAAUCGCCAUCUGGGUCAGAUGGGCAUCAUUUGAAAGCUUGUUCUAUGGUCAACAUGACCUAGCUAAGUUAUAAAAUAUGAUAUUAAUACAAUGUUAAGCUUUCACAGGGCAAUUCAGGGAAGCUGAUGGUAAGUCUGGUGCCUGUAGGAAGGAGUCGUGAGUGCAUUCUGGUGCCUGUAGGAAGGAGUCGUGAGUGCAUUCUGGUGCCUGUAGGAAGGAGUCGUGAGUGCAUUCUGGUGCCUGUAGGAAGGAGUCGUGAGUGCAUUCUGGUGCCUGUAGGAAGGAGUCGGGAGUGCAUUCUGGUGCCUGUAGGAAGGAGUCGGGAGUGCAUUCUGGUGCCUGUAGGAAGGAGUCGCGAGUGCAUUCUGG
rnacentral:lncRNA from 13 species